rnacentral:rRNA from 1 species
GGGUGCGUAACACGUGGGCAAUCUGCCGAGAAGUGGGGGAUAGCUCGCCGAAAGGCGAAUUAAUACCGCAUGUGGUUAGUGAAGACAUCUUCACGAUACCAAAGCCGGGGCAACCUGGCGCUUCUUGAUGAGCCCGCGGCCUAUCAGCUAGUUGGUGAGGUAACGGCUCACCAAGGCUAUGACGGGUAGCUGGUCUGAGAGGACGACCAGCCACACUGGAACUGAGACACGGUCCAGACACCUACGGGUGGCAGCAGUCGAGAAUUUUUCUCAAUGGGGGAAACCCUGAAGGAGCGACGCCGCGUGGAGGAUGAAGGUCUUCGGAUUGUAAACUCCUGUCAUUUGGGAACAAGUUGCAGCGAUUAACUGUCGCUGCAUUGAUAGUACCAGAAGGGGAAGAGACGGCUAACUCUGUGCCAGCAGCCGCGGUAAUACAGAGGUCUCAAGCGUUGUUCGGAUUCAUUGGGCGUAAAGGGUGCGUAGGUGGCGGGGUAAGUCUGGUGUGAAGUCUCGGGGCUCAACCCCGAAACUGCACUGGAUACUGCCUUGCUUGAGUACUGGAGAGGAGAUUGGAAUUUACGGUGUAGCAGUGAAAUGCGUAGAUAUCGUAAGGAAGACCAGUGGCGAAGGCGAAUCUCUGGACAGUUACUGACACUGAGGCACGAAGGCCAGGGGAGCAAACGGGAUUAGAUACCCCGGUAGUCCUGGCAGUAAACGGUGCGCGUUUGGUGUGGGAGGAUUCGACCCCUUCUGUGCCGGAGCUAACGCGUUAAACGCGCCGCCUGGGGGAGUACGGUCGCAAGAUUAAAACUCAAAGAAAUUGACGGGGGCCCGCACAAGCGGUGGAGUAUGUGGCUUU